UCAAAGCAGAGAGAUUUCUACAGAGAAUUUCAGAAUGUCUGUGAGAGAUUUUAGUGAAUUAUUAUGAAAGAGAAAGAGAGAGAAGAGAGAGAUUUUUAUGUGAUUGUUUUCUACGAUUCUCCUGUGAACCGUGAAGAAGCCAUAAGUCCAGGGCUGCGUCUUACGCUGGUGCAGAUAAAUUCCCACAGUAGGCUUUUGUUGCCAAGCCUGGAAAACAUAUUUAAAGUAUGUCGGGUAGGCAGGGUAUAUCAU